AUUUCCUGUAAGUAAUAAACCUUUCAUACCUUCUUGUUGUGUGUCAUCAGUCUUGACGUUCCAACCAGAUUUUGGGUGGGGGGUUUAUUCUGUUUUUUCAGAGUGGUUACAACACAGAGAAAUCUGGAUUUCAGCCAAAAAAAAUCACCUCAAGACCGCAACAGGGCAUACUUCACUGAAUUCCAAACUGAUUGUUGACGUGAUCCUUUGGAUUGGAAAAGUCCAAACAGUUCAUCUGCCCCAUCCCUGGUCAUUUGGCUACUGGCUGUCUUGGAUGCUGGACCCUAAUAUUCUAAGAUACUGACUUUUGGGAACGAUCCACUGGGAACAAUAUGGAGAUUGAAAUCAUGGAAAGAGACUGACAAACAGCUUCUGUUGCUCCACCCCACUGCAGCCCUCCUUCCCUGAGCAAGAAGGAUUUUUCUUGUACACAAACCAAAUCCCAGGUCAGAAAUCAUUUCCUUAAGAAGUCCUCUGGAUCUCCAGUUGAUACGAGCUCUCAGAGAACCAGAACUUUCUCCUUUGGAUCACUUAUGCGGAUUUUCAUCUACUUUGCCUCAGAUACAUGCUUCUUCUGAACUUGUGAUCUGAGGUGUCAGAGUCCAUGCAGCAAACCCAUGGCAAGUUCAAAGUGGUAAGUAAAAAAGCAGC